rnacentral:lncRNA from 1 species
GCAUGCUGUAAGUUUUGCUUUGGCCAUGCUUUGAGCAAAGCACUCAGCUGUGUUUGGUGCAGUAUCAGCCUGGGCAGAGGUAGUUGGUCCCACUCGCACCACUGGCAGAGGGAGGGAGCAGGAGAGGGACUUACAUCACUCCUAAAAUAUUAACCAACAAAUGGAUGAAAUCACCACCUAUGAGAGAUUCUCCAGCACCAGAGCAGUCCUCUUCAAGGCUGAAUACACAUACACACACAGUAACUGAACCUGCUCUUGGUUCCAUAGCCAGAGCCAGCUAUGAGAGUCCAGAGUCUCCCUGCACACAAAUUACCCAACUCUGAGACUGCUUUAAUUCCCAGGUUUUCAAUACUGCUGUCUUCAGGUUCCUAAACAACAAGGUGUCCUAUUACAUUUAAUCUUUUCUGUUUCACUUUGUGUCUUGGGCACAGGGCACUCAGACGGGACUCUUGAAAAAACCAUCACUCUCUCAACACAAGUGAAGCAAAACUCAGGUUAAAACCUGUUUAGCAGUAGGUAUGAAUGUCUUCCCAAGGGCUGUUUGAGAGUGGUGUUAUUUUCCUUCGCAGUGGGAAUUACCCAGUGCAGCCAUACAAGCGGGGAGAUGCGUGCAGCGCGUGUGGUGGUGAGGAGUGUGUCAACCUGCUGUGUAAAAAUCCAGAGCGUGACAAAGUCAUUGAGGACUCCAAGUGGCAUCCAGACUGGGACAGACCUGCAUGUGAUGAGGUCUGCAUCUUUGUUAGACCACUACUCCUUGUACUGACAUUUGUGGCCACCUGGCUCUUACCGAAAUAUUGCUCUCUAAUACCUGCCAGUGGGUAACACACAUAUAGAAGACCACAAGAGCACUUGGCCAACUCAUCUCUUCCAUUCAUAUAAGUUACAGGCAACACGAACAUUGUCUCUACAGACAUUGUUUGCAUCCACAGGUGAUUUAGAAGUACAGAAAUAACAUCUUCAUUGCAGGUUGUAGUUACAAGCACUGAUAAGCAGCUUUUUCGUUGCUCAGAACCAGUUGAAAGUUAAAAUUAAUUUAGAUGUUAAAAUUUCUUUAAAAGUUAAAAUAUUUUUAAAGUGGAGCAGUGUGCAUGUGAUCUGGUGGGUACAGGAGCACAUUGUCCAGGCAGCACACUAAGGUGCAGGCAGCUGCCCAACACACUUCAGGAAGGGCUGGAGAGUGUCAGCCCAGGAGCCAGGCCCCAGCCCACAGCUGGGGCACGCACCUGUCUCAUUCCUAUUGCACUCUUACCUUGGACACUCCUACAGCAAGAUGUGGCCUGUAUAAUUUAACUUUUUUAAAGGAUUUUUGGAUCCCUGUGAGCUCUGGCAUUUGCAUCCUGUGGCAGCACUUCCCAGUCUCACAGAGCACUUGUCAUUGGUACUUCACUUUGCUUAGAAUUUGUUUUUAAAUUCAUGGCAUCUGUGCCUAAACAGUUUCACCUGUGUUUACAUGGUUAUGUAUCUCUGCAAUCUUUCCUGUUGUGGUUUUGUUUUUUUUUUUAGCAUAGGGGUUUUACUGCUGUUUCAAACAAUAAAUUUUUAUUUCCUGCUUCCU